AGUCGAACGCGUCUCCGUUAAUGAUUUUAGGUGCUUGCACUUGAGAGAUUUAACAUUGAGACGAGUGGCGAACUGGUGAGUAACACGUGGGUAACCUGCCCUUGAAGUAGGGGAUAACACUUGGAAACAGGUGCUAAUACCGUAUAACAACCAAAACCACCUGGUUUUGGUUUAAAAGACGGCUUCGGCUGUCACUUUAGGAUGGACCCGCGGCGUAUUAGCUUGUUGGUAAGGUAACGGCCUACCAAGGCGAUGAUACGUAGCCGACCUGAGAGGGUAAUCGGCCACAUUGGGACUGAGACACUGCCCAAACUCCUACGGGAGGCAGCAGUAGGGAAUCUUCCACAAUGGACGAAAGUCUGAUGGAGCAACGCCGCGUGAGUGAUGAAGGGUUUCGGCUCGUAAAACUCUGUUGUUGGAGAAGAACAGGUGUCAGAGUAACUGUUGACAUCUUGACGGUAUCCAACCAGAAAGCCACGGCUAACUACGUGCCAGCAGCCGCGGUAAUACGUAGGUGGCAAGCGUUGUCCGGAUUUAUUGGGCGUAAAGCGAGCGCAGGCGGUUUUUUAGGUCUGAUGUGAAAGCCUUCGGCUUAACCGGAGAAGUGCAUCGGAAACCGGGAGACUUGAGUGCAGAAGAGGACAGUGGAACUCCAUGUGUAGCGGUGAAAUGCGUAGAUAUAUGGAAGAACACCAGUGGCGAAGGCGGCUGUCUGGUCUGUAACUGACGCUGAGGCUCGAAAGCAUGCGUAGCGAACAGGAUUAGAUACCCUGGUAG
rnacentral:rRNA from 1 species